rnacentral:rRNA from 1 species
AACCUCUGCAAUAGGCGAAAGCCUGACAGGGUUACUCUGAGUGAUUUCCGUUAAGGAGAUCUUUCGGCAUCUCUAAAAAUGGUGCAGAAUAAGGGGUGGGCAAGUCUGGUGUCAGCCGCCGCGGUAAUACCAGCACCCCGAGUGGUCGGGACGUUUAUUGGGCCUAAAGCAUCCGUAGCCGGUUCUACAAGUCUUCCGUUAAAUCCAGCUGCUUAACAGAUGGGCCGCGGAAGAUACUAUGGAGCUAGGAGGCGGGAGAGGCAAGCGGUACUCGAUGGGUAGGGGUAAAAUCCGUUGAUCCAUUGAAGACCACCAGUGGUGAAGGCGGCUUGCCAGAACGCGCUCGACGGUGAGGGAUGAAAGCUGGGGGAGCAAACCGGAUUAGAUACCCGGGUAGUCCCAGCUGUAAACGAUGCAGACUCGGUGAUGAGUUGGCUACAUGCCAUCUCAGUGCCGCAGGGAAGCCGUUAAGUUUGCCGCCUGGGGAGUACGGUCGCAAGACUGAAACUUAA